rnacentral:ncRNA from 2 species
UUUUGUUCUCAGGGCGGGGCGCAAUUCCCCACCGGCGGUAUCGGGAUUGAUCCCGGAGCCCGCGAGCGCUUCCGGGUUUCGGAAGGUCAGCAGAUCCGGUGCGAUGCCGGAGCCGACGGUAUAGUCCGGAUGGAAGAGAACAAGG